rnacentral:rRNA from 1 species
UACGUAGGGGGCAAGCGUUGUCCGGAAUCAUUGGGCGUAAAGAGCGUGUAGGCGGCUCGAUAAGUCUGCUGUGAAAGUCCAGGGCUCAACCCUGGAAGGCCGGUGGAAACUGUCGGGCUAGAGUCCGGAAGAGGCGAGUGGAAUUCCCGGUGUAGCGGUGAAACGCGCAGAUAUCGGGAGGAACACCAAUGGCGAAGGCAGCUCGCUGGGACGGUACUGACGCUGAGACGCGAAAGCGUGGGGAGCAAACAGG